rnacentral:rRNA from 1 species
AGCUUGCUCCCUGAUGUUAGCGGCGGACGGGUGAGUAACACGUGGGUAACCUGCCUGUAAGACUGGGAUAACUCCGGGAAACCGGGGCUAAUACCGGAUGGUUGUUUGAACCGCAUGGUUCAAACAUAAAAGGUGGCUUCGGCUACCACUUACAGAUGGACCCGCGGCGCAUUAGCUAGUUGGUGAGGUAACGGCUCACCAAGGCAACGAUGCGUAGCCGACCUGAGAGGGUGAUCGGCCACACUGGGACUGAGACACGGCCCAGACUCCUACGGGAGGCAGCAGUAGGGAAUCUUCCGCAAUGGACGAAAGUCUGACGGAGCAACGCCGCGUGAGUGAUGAAGGUUUUCGGAUCGUAAAGCUCUGUUGUUAGGGAAGAACAAGUACCGUUCGAAUAGGGCGGUACCUUGACGGUACCUAACCAGAAAGCCACGGCUAACUACGUGCCAGCAGCCGCGGUAAUACGUAGGUGGCAAGCGUUGUCCGGAAUUAUUGGGCGUAAAGGGCUCGCAGGCGGUUUCUUAAGUCUGAUGUGAAAGCCCCCGGCUCAACCGGGGAGGGUCAUUGGAAACUGGGGAACUUGAGUGCAGAAGAGGAGAGUGGAAUUCCACGUGUAGCGGUGAAAUGCGUAGAGAUGUGGAGGAACACCAGUGGCGAAGGCGACUCUCUGGUCUGUAACUGACGCUGAGGAGCGAAAGCGUGGGGAGCGAACAGGAUUAGAUACCCUGGUAGUCCACGCCGUAAACGAUGAGUGCUAAGUGUUAGGGGGUUUCCGCCCCUUAGUGCUGCAGCUAACGCAUUAAGCACUCCGCCUGGGGAGUACGGUCGCAAGACUGAAACUCAAAGGAAUUGA